GGGUAAUCUCUUGCAACUCUUGGAUCAAAUUCACUCUCGUAUUCUUUACCAAGAAACGCAACGCACUCUAAGGUUGAUUUAUCAAGAUACAAGAAAGCAAGCUAGGAUGGCCUAGAAACUCAUUUUAGAAAUAAACUAUUGUUUGAAUUUAUUUUUGGAUGUUGAAACUUUGUGUUAUCCUUUAGAAUCUAAUAAAAUGAUUUAAAUUAUAUUGUCA